UACGGAGGGUGCAAACGUUGCCCGGAAUCAUUGGGCGUAAAGCGCACGUAGGCGGUUCGUUAUGUCGGAUGUGAAAUCCCUCGGCUCAACCGAGGAAGGGCAUCCGAAACUGGCGUGCUUGAGUAUGGAAGAGGGUCUCGGAAUUCCCGGUGUAGAGGUGAAAUUCGUAGAUAUCGGGAGGAACACCGGUGGCGAAGGCGACAUCCUGGACCGGUAUUGACGCUGAGGCGCGAAAGCCAGGGGAGCAAACGGG
rnacentral:rRNA from 1 species